GACGAACCAUCCAAACGUUAUUCGGAAUUACUGGGCUUAAAGGGUGCGUAGGCUGCGCAGAAAGUUGGGUGUGAAAUCCCUCGCUUAACCGAGGAACUGCGCCCAAAACUACUGUGCUUGAGGGAGACAGAGGUGAGCGGAACUUGAGGGUGGAGGCGGUGAAAUGCGUUGAUAUCCUAAGGAACACCCGUGGCGAAAGCGGCUACACUCGGGUGCUCUUCUGACGCUGAUGCACGAAAGCUAGGGGAGCGAACGGG
rnacentral:rRNA from 1 species